CCUACGGGAGGCAGCAGUGGGGGAUAUUGCACAAUGGGGGGAACUCUGAUGCAGCGACGCCGCGUGAGCGAUGGAGUACUUCGGUAUGUAAAGCUCUGUCAGCAGGGAAGAAAAUGACGGUACCUGACCAAGAAGCUCCGGCUAAAUACGUGCCAGCAGCCGCGGUAAUACGUAUGGGGCAAGCGUUAUCCGGAUUUACUGGGUGGAAAGGGAGCGUAGGUGGCAGGGCAAGUCUGAGGUGAAAGCCCGGGGCUCAACCCCGGGAAUGCAUUAGAAACUGCUCUGCUGGAGUGCAGGAGGGGCAAGCGGAAUUCUUGGUGUAGCGGUGAAAUGCGUAGAUAUUAGGAGGAACACCAGUGGCGAAGGCGGCUUGCUGGACGGUAACUGACGCUGAGGCUCGAAAGCGUGGGGAGCAAACAGGAUUAGAUACCCUUGUAGUC
rnacentral:rRNA from 1 species